CUCAUGGAGGGUUAUCCCAAAAAAAUUGAAAACAAAAAAAAAAGUAGUUUUAAUACAUUGCAUUUUCAGGGAUCUGAUUCCCACUAUCUGAAGCCAGAUUUGGGCUAGAUUUGCAGUGUACAAGUUCAUUGGGUGUGAACGCAUUGUAUAGAAAAGUUGUCCUGUCUUUAGCUAUAAAACAAGGAAUAUACGCAGUUUAAUACAAUACUGUGUUCCAUACGUAUUUCUUCUCAAU
rnacentral:misc_RNA from 1 species